rnacentral:rRNA from 1 species
UACGGAGGAUCCAAGCGUUAUCCGGAUUUACUGGGUUUAAAGGGUGCGUAGGCGGGCUAAUAAGUCAGUGGUGAAAUCCAACAGCUUAACUGUUGAAUUGCCAUUGAUACUGUUAGUCUUGAGUAUAGUUGGAGUGGAUGGAAUUUGUCAUGUAGCGGUGAAAUGCUUAGAGAUGACAAAGAACACCAAUCGCGUAGGCAGUUCACUAAACUAUAACUGACGCUGAGGCACGAAAGCGUGGGGAUCAAACAGGAUUAGAUACCCUGGUAGUCCACGCCGUAAACGAUGAUUACUAGAUGUUGGCGAACGAUCGUCAGUGUUUUAACGAAAGUAUUAAGUAAUCCACCUGGGGAGUACGAUCGCAAGAUUGAA